GGGAAUGUGGCUUAAUGGUGGAGCACUUGUUUAGCAUGCAUGAGGUCCUGGGUUCGAUUCCUCAGUACCA
rnacentral:tRNA from 1 species